rnacentral:rRNA from 1 species
AGGAACACCGAUGGCGAAGGCAGCCUCCUGGGAUAACACUGACGCUCAUGCACGAAAGCGUGGGGAGCAAACAGGAUUAGAUACCCUGGUAGUCCACGCCCUAAACGAUGUCAACUAGCUGUUGGGGUCUUCGGACCUUGGUAGCGCAGCUAACGCGUGAAGUUGACCGCCUGGGGAGUACGGUCGCAAGAUUAAAACUCAAAGGAAUUGACGGGGACCCGCACAAGCGGUGGAUGAUGUGGAUUAAUUCGAUGCAACGCGA